CUGAACCAGCCAAGUAGCGUGAAGGAUGACUGCCCUAUGGGUUGUAAACUUCUUUUAUAUUAGAAUAAAGUGCAGUAUGUAUACUGUUUUGUAUGUAUAAUAUGAAUAAGGACCGGCUAACUCCGUGCCAGCAGCCGCGGUAAUACGGAGGAUCCGAGCGUUAUCCGGAUUUAUUGGGUUUAAAGGGAGCGUAGAUGGAUGUUUAAGUCAGUUGUGAAAGUUUGCGG
rnacentral:rRNA from 1 species